rnacentral:rRNA from 1 species
CCUACGGGUGGCAGCAGUGAGGAAUAUUGGUCAAUGGUCGGGAGACUGAACCAGCCAAGCCGCGUGAGGGAUGAAGGUACAGAGUAUCGUAAACCUCUUUUGUCAGGGAACAAAGGCGGGGACGUGUCCCCGGAUGAGUGUACCUGAAGAAAAAGCAUCGGCUAACUCCGUGCCAGCAGCCGCGGUAAUACGGAGGAUGCGAGCGUUAUCCGGAUUUAUUGGGUUUAAGGGGUGCGCAGGCGGUCUGUUAAGUCAGCGGUCAAAGCCCGGGGCUCAACCCCGGCCCGCCGUUGAAACUGGCAGUCUCGAGUUGGAGAGAAGUAUGCGGAAUGCGCGGUGGAGCGGUGAAAUGCGUAGAUAUCGCGCAGAACUCCGAUUGCGAAGGCAGCCUGCCGGGGUGCGACUGACGCUGAGGCUCGAAGGUGCGGGUAUCAAACAGGAUUAGAUACCCCUGUAGUC